AGCUUUGUUCAGUGGCAGUAUCAUAGCCAAUGAGGUUUAUCCAAGGCACGAUUGUUGCUAAUUGAAACCAAUCCACAGCCCAGCCUCCCUCGUGCCCAGGUCAGUGUGCAUUAUCUGCUCAAUGCCAAGUCAA
ensembl:snRNA U4 U4 spliceosomal RNA